AUCGGUUUUGCUGAAGCGCUUCAGAGAGUGCCGCUCGCGAUACCUCGUCUACCGGCUUUGACCACGGAUGUACUGGCAGGGGUAGGAAGACGAACGAAAGGUCGGUGCGAUUUUGCCCCGGCCUUUUUUAUU
rnacentral:sRNA from 1 species